AAACGGAUGGGCCCUCGAAGCGGCGGGCGGAUUCAGUCGGACGCCGCCGGGCGCGCCGCGAGCAUCUGUGGGCCCCGAAGUGGGACCGCUCGCGGCGUCGCGGGCCGGGGCGAGAGACCGACGCACUUCCGCCCGCCCGGAGGACGCCGCGGCCGGUCGGGCACGGCGAGAAGUCUGCGGAUACGGCGGACGCACGGGAGGCGGCCGGCCGUCGGUUGGCGUUCCCUCGCCAGCCGGUGCCGGUCGGCGACCGGUCCGUCGGACGCGAGACGCCCGACCGAGGAACACGGGGUCGAGCGUCCCUCGACCCGCCUCCGCCCCUCCAGCGGGGUGGCGAGAGCGGGGGGUCGGCGCGGAUCGACGAGGCCGUCCCAGCCCCGAGCGCUGGACGAGUCCGUCAGACGUGCGCGCGGUCCCCGCGCCCUCGCGGAGACGGCGGGAGGCCAGCGGCGAGUAGGUCGGUCACCCAUCCGACCCGUCUUGAAACACGGACCAAGGAGUCUAACGUGUGCGCGAGUCCAAGGGACUUGAACAGGCCCGCGGGCGCAAUGAGAGUGAGGGGCGGCCGCGGUCUUCCGCGAGCCGCCGCGAGUCGGGAUCCCGCCGACUCGAUCGGUCGGGCGCACCGACGGCCCUCGCGAGCCCGAUCCGUCGGGCUGCGGGGGGCCGGAGCGCGCGGGUUAGGACCCGAAAGAUGGCGAUCUAUGCCCGGGCAGGACGAAGUCAGAGGAAACUCUGAUGGAGGUCCGAAGCGCUUCUGACGUGCAAAUCGAUUGCGAGACCUGGGUAUAGG
rnacentral:rRNA from 1 species